AACCCCGGCCCACCAGGGAGACGGAGCACUUCUUACAGUUGAAACAGUCGUUGUGCCACUGGCGCUCUUCAAACGAGAUGUACUUACUGCCACCCAGACCUGAGAGAACGGGGAGAGAUGAACACAUGCUGUUAUCAAAAGAUCAGUGAUUGGGGAAGGAGGAAAGGUGGAGAACUUUAGUAAGGAUUCAAACAGGGCCACAGUGUACAGCGUGAUGGGGCCCAUCCCUGGGUUACACCAGAGCCCAGCUGAUCCCCUGGAAGGGGAACCUUUUCAACCUUUGAACCGGCCAGACCUCCAGCACACUGACAUGGAUCCCUUGAUAGAAAUUGCUUUGAUGGACCGGCCGUGACACAAGGUCACAAGGAGGAGGGACACAAAUGAGCAAUCAGAGGGUUGACCACAACAGAGAGGACAUCCAUACUGAAAUGGGUAUACCCAAGAGGAUACUCGUAUAUCAUAUACACACAUCUCCUCUCCAGGGUUGACCACAACAGAGAGGACAUCCAUACUGAAAUGGGUAUACCCAAGAGGACACUCGUAUAUCAUAUACACACAUCUCCUCCCACCAGCCUCCUCUGGUGUCAAUGCAUACUGAGCAUGUUAUCCACCUCUCGCUUCAUGCCAUAGCGGUUGUUCUCUCUGUACAAAUGUGUCUCUUAAAAACACUGGGAUUAAAUGAAAUCUACAUCAGGCUAGGUAUAUUAGAUUUGAUAUUAUACUGAACAAAAAUAUAAACGCAACAUAUAAAGUGUUUGUACCAUGUUUCGAGAGCUAAAAUAAAAUA